rnacentral:rRNA from 1 species
GGGGAUAACUACUGGAAACGGUAGCUAAUACCGCAUAACGUCGCAAGACCAAAGAGGGGGACCUUCGGGCCUCUUGCCAUCGGAUGUGCCCAGAUGGGAUUAGCUAGUAGGUGGGGUAACGGCUCACCUAGGCGACGAUCCCUAGCUGGUCUGAGAGGAUGACCAGCCACACUGGAACUGAGACACGGUCCAGACUCCUACGGGAGGCAGCAGUGGGGAAUAUUGCACAAUGGGCGCAAGCCUGAUGCAGCCAUGCCGCGUGUAUGAAGAAGGCCUUCGGGUUGUAAAG